CUUCGGGGUGCCGGACGAUCCGGCUGAGAUUGCGCAGAACCGUGCGCUGACCCGCGAACCUGAUACGGAUGAUACCGGCGUAGGAAAAGA
rnacentral:ncRNA from 1 species